CGGAUCGGAGUCUGCAACCCGACUCCGUGAAGCUGGAUUCGCUAGUAAUCGCGCAUCAGCCAUGGCGCGGUGAAUACGUUCCCGGGCCUUGUACACACCGCCCGUCAAGCCAUGGGAGCCGGGAGCGCUUGAAGUGCGUCGCCGCGAGGCGCGCCCUAGAGCGAGACCGGUGACUGGGGCUAAGUCGUAACAAGGUAGC
rnacentral:rRNA from 1 species